UCUCCGUAGGUGAACCUGCGGAGGGAUCAUUACAGAGUUCGUGCCCUCACGGGUAGAUCUCCCCACCCUUGUGUAUCUCCGUAUUCUUGUUGCUUUGGCAGGCCGCUGGGCUUCGGCCUGGCCACCGGCUCUGGGGCUGGUGCGCGCCUGCCAGAGGACCUCUCAAACUCGGUUUGUUACUGUCGUCUGAGUACUAUAACAAUCGUUAAAACUUUCAACAACGGAUCUCUUGGUUCUG
rnacentral:misc_RNA from 1 species